rnacentral:rRNA from 1 species
UCCUGACUGACCGAUAGUGAACCAGUACCGUGAGGGAAAGGCGAAAAGAACCCCGGCGAGGGGAGUGAAAAAGAACCUGAAACCGUGUACGUACAAGCAGUGGGAGCACGCUUAGGCGUGUGACUGCGUACCUUUUGUAUAAUGGGUCAGCGACUUAUAUUCUGUAGCAAGGUUAACCGAAUAGGGGAGCCGAAGGGAAACCGAGUCUUAACUGGGCGUUAAGUUGCAGGGUAUAGACCCGAAACCCGGUGAUCUAGCCAUGGGCAGGUUGAAGGUUGGGUAACACUAACUGGAGGACCGAACCGACUAAUGUUGAAAAAUUAGCGGAUGACUUGUGGCUGGGGGUGAAAGGCCAAUCAAACCGGGAGAUAGCUGGUUCUCCCCGAAAGCUAUUUAGGUAGCGCCUCGUGAAUUCAUCUCCGGGGGUAGAGCACUGUUUCGGCAAGGGGGUCAUCCCGACUUACCAACCCGAUGCAAACUGCGAAUACCGGAGAAUGUUAUCACGGGAGACACACGGCGGGUGCUAACGUCCGUCGUGAAGAGGGAAACAACCCAGACCGCCAGCUAAGGUCCCAAAGUCAUGGUUAAGUGGGAAACGAUGUGGGAAGGCCCAGACAGCCAGGAUGUUGGCUUAGAAGCAGCCAUCAUUUAAAGAAAGCGUAAUAGCUCACUGGUCGAGUCGGCCUGCGCGGAAGAUGUAACGGGGCUAAACCAUGCACCGAAGCUGCGGCAGCGAUGCUUAUGCGUUGUUGGGUAGGGGAGCGUUCUGUAAGCCUGCGAAGGUGUGCUGUGAGGCAUGCUGGAGGUAUCAGAAGUGCGAAUGCUGACAUAAGUAACGAUAAAGCGGGUGAAAAGCCCGCUCGCCGGAAGACCAAGGGUUCCUGUCCAACGUUAAUCGGGGCAGGGUGAGUCGACCCCUAAGGCGAGGCCGAAAGGCGUAGUCGAUGGGAAACAGGUUAAUAUUCCUGUACUUGGUGUUACUGCGAAGGGGGGACGGAGAAGGCUAUGUUGGCCGGGCGACGGUUGUCCCGGUUUAAGCGUGUAGGCUGGUUUUCCAGGCAAAUCCGGAAAAUCAAGGCUGAGGCGUGAUGACGAGGCACUACGGUGCUGAAGCAACAAAUGCCCUGCUUCCAGGAAAAGCCUCUAAGCAUCAGGUAACAUCAAAUCGUACCCCAAACCGACACAGGUGGUCAGGUAGAGAAUACCAAGGCGCUUGAGAGAACUCGGGUGAAGGAACUAGGCAAAAUGGUGCCGUAACUUCGGGAGAAGGCACGCUGAUAUGUAGGUGAAGUCCCUUGCGGAUGGAGCUGAAAUCAGUCGAAGAUACCAGCUGGCUGCAACUGUUUAUUAAAAACACAGCACUGUGCAAACACGAAAGUGGACGUAUACGGUGUGACGCCUGCCCGGUGCCGGAAGGUUAAUUGAUGGGGUCAGCGCAAGCGAAGCUCUUGAUCGAAGCCCCGGUAAACGGCGGCCGUAACUAUAACGGUCCUAAGGUAGCGAAAUUCCUUGUCGGGUAAGUUCCGACCUGCACGAAUGGCGUAAUGAUGGCCAGGCUGUCUCCACCCGAGACUCAGUGAAAUUGAACUCGCUGUGAAGAUGCAGUGUACCCGCGGCAAGACGGAAAGACCCCGUGAACCUUUACUAUAGCUUGACACUGAACAUUGAGCCUUGAUGUGUAGGAUAGGUGGGAGGCUUUGAAGUGUGGACGCCAGUCUGCAUGGAGCCGGCCUUGAAAUACCACCCUUUAAUGUUUGAUGUUCUAACGUGGACCCGUGAUCCGGGUUGCGGACAGUGUCUGGUGGGUAGUUUGACUGGGGCGGUCUCCUCCUAAAGAGUAACGGAGGAGCACGAAGGUUGGCUAAUCCUGGUCGGACAUCAGGAGGUUAGUGCAAUGGCAUAAGCCAGCUUGACUGCGAGCGUGACGGCGCGAGCAGGUGCGAAAGCAGGUCAUAGUGAUCCGGUGGUUCUGAAUGGAAGGGCCAUCGCUCAACGGAUAAAAGGUACUCCGGGGAUAACAGGCUGAUACCGCCCAAGAGUUCAUAUCGACGGCGGUGUUUGGCACCUCGAUGUCGGCUCAUCACAUCCUGGGGCUGAAGUAGGUCCCAAGGGUAUGGCUGUUCGCCAUUUAAAGUGGUACGCGAGCUGGGUUUAGAACGUCGUGAGACAGUUCGGUCCCUAUCUGCCGUGGGCGCUGGAGAACUGAGGGGGGCUGCUCCUAGUACGAGAGGACCGGAGUGGACGCAUCACUGGUGUUCGGGUUGUCAUGCCAAUGGCACUGCCCGGUAGCUAAAUGCGGAAGAG